AAAGAAGAAGAGAGCGCAGACAACGAGAGUGUCUCGUUUCUCUGCGCUCUCUC
ensembl:ncRNA F21D9.9 ncRNA